AACAUCGCGCACCUGCGGGAACCUGCGGAAGGAUCAUCAUCGAAUUGAUAUCCCCCUCCUCUCCCGGAGAGGGACCUAUGAUAAGCCCUUCUGUGCACCGUUAAACCGUUCACUUUGGCAGGCUUUGGUGGUGAGCGUGAGCUCGCCUCCAACCUCGCGUUCCCUCCUCUCUAAGGAGGUGUUACGCGUGGCGGCCUGCCAGAGUCCUCCCAUUAAAAACACGUUUUCGAACACGUCCGA
rnacentral:misc_RNA from 1 species